rnacentral:rRNA from 1 species
UACGUAGGGAGCAAGCGUUGUCCGGAAUCAUUGGGCGUAAAGCGCGCGUAGGCGGCCCCGUAAGUCCGCUGUGAAAGUCAAAGGCUCAACCUUUGAAAGCCGGUGGAUACUGUGGGGCUAGAGUCCGGAAGAGGCGAGUGGAAUUCCUGGUGUAGCGGUGGAAUGCGCAGAUAUCAGGAGGAACACCGGUGGCGAAGGCGGCUCUCUGGACCACAACUGACGCUGAGGCGCGAAAGCUAGGGGAGCAAACAGG